UCAGGCUCAGCAGAGGCAGCGGGUGUGUGUAAAUGGGAAGUUCUCUGCUUUGGAUGUCUGGGCAAAAGACAGCUGUGAGUGCAGCACGUCACCACCCAAGCCAAGUCAGAGUAAAUGCUCCUGCAUUCAACAAGCCGCCUUCUAAUCCUUUGCUCCUGAGUCAGUCAAAAAUGUUUACUUUGCUUUGAAAAUGGCCUGCAUUUCCUAGCUAAUACGUGUAAGAGAAGAUGCUGCCACUCAGCAUUGUGCUUUUGCCCAGUGAUUGUGACUUGCAGUAAUGACCUUGAGAAGACUGCUCUGGGCUUCACUGUCUCCGUUCACUUAACUGCACUACACCUACUAAGGGCCCACACAUACUACCAUUAGGCACCUGGACUUGACCGGACACUGCAAGGGAAUAAAGGUCUAAGCAUAAGCUCUGAGGUCUGGCUUCCUGGACUUAAGUCCAGAGAGUCAGUUCACCUCUCGGAGCAUCAGGUUACUUGACCUGUGGUAGCCCCCACCCCACAUUGUUCAUUAUGAGGGUGCAACAAGGUAACAUGAGUAACUUCACUUAGCACAGCACCUGGCACAUCUGAUCUCUGUAGCUGUUAUUUUGUUACCGUUAUUCAGGAUAAAUAAGACAAGUUCCCUGUCCUUUGAGGGAGGGUAAGAAGGAACAUCAUAAGUAAGGCAGACUGUGGACUCCACUUGCCCCAGGGACUCAUCCUUGCUAAGCCAAGUCUGUCUCCUCUGCUGGAAGGAAACGGAAGGGAAUCCUUUUGUGUCUGUCAGGACACAUGGCAAAGGCAUGGCGUUUAGUUUGACAUCAGGACUCAUGGUUUAUGUCAACAGUGGCUGGCAUCGAUGAGAAGUUUCUGAAUGAUGGGAAUGGUGUGUGUGUGUCUGGUAGGAAAGACAUUUGAGAGGGCUACAAACUCCAAGCUGGAAUUCCCAUUGCCACAGACCUAUCUUUCUGCUUCUCAUGUGAAAUCCUGAAUAAAGCACAUUUUGGUUUUAA